rnacentral:rRNA from 1 species
ACGGAGAUGUUGCAGCAGAAGCGAAUAGCUUGCUAUGAGUGGAAACAGUGGCAUCUUAGUGGCGGACGGGUGAGUAACGCGUGGGCAACCUGCCCUGCACUGGGGGAUAACACUUAGAAAUAGGUGCUAAUACCGCAUAAUAAAAUAUAUUGCAUGAUAUAUUUUUGAAAGCUGCGGCGGUGCAGGAUGGGCCCGCGUCUGAUUAGCCAGUUGGCGGGGUAACGGCCCACCAAAGCGACGAUCAGUAGCCGGCCUGAGAGGGUGGACGGCCGCAUUGGGACUGAGACACGGCCCAAACUCCUACGGGAGGCAGCAGUGGGGGAUAUUGGACAAUGGGGGGAACCCUGAUCCAGCGACGCCGCGUGAGUGAAGAAGUAUUUCGGUAUGUAAAGCUCUAUCAGCAGGGAAGAAAAGAAUGACGGUACCUGAAUAAGAAGCCCCGGCUAACUACGUGCCAGCAGCCGCGGUAAUACGUAGGGGGCAAGCGUUAUCCGGAUUUACUGGGUGUAAAGGGAGCGCAGACGGCAAUGCAAGCCUGGAGUGAAAGGCGGGGGCCCAACCCCCGGACUGCUCUGGGAACUGUAUAGCUAGAGUGCAGGAGAGGCAAGUGGAAUUCCUAGUGUAGCGGUGAAAUGCGUAGAUAUUAGGAGGAACACCAGUGGCGAAGGCGGCUUGCUGGACUGUAACUGACGUUGAGGCUCGAAAGCGUGGGGAGCAAACAGGAUUAGAUACCCUGGUAGUCCACGCCGUAAACGAUGAUUACUAGGUGUCGGAGGGCAUGGGCCCGUCGGUGCCGGAGCAAACGCAUUAAGUAAUCCACCUNGGGAGUACGUUCGCAAGAAUGAAANUCA